NNNNNNNNNNNNNNNNNNNNNNNNNNNNNNNNNNNNNNNNNNNNNNNNNNNNNNNNNNNNNNNNNNNNUGGCCUCCCCCACCGCUCCAGUCCCCGCGAUGCAGCCCCAAGCCUGACCCCCUCGUCCCUGUGCUCUCCCCAGCCUGGCGUCCUCCCGCCGCCCAGGCCUGGCCCUCCAUUCCUCCUUCUUCCCAUCACCUCUUCCUCUGGCCUCCUUCCCCGCCCCUGCGCUCCCCGCAUCUCCGCGUACGAUCCUUCUCUCCCUUUCCUCCACGCUUCCGCAGCCCUCUCCUUCCUCCCCCGGGCCUGCCCUAGCUCCCGCUUCGGCCCCCAGCCCCGCUGCCUCCUUCGCCUUCUGCGGCCCCGGAUUCCCUUCCGCCCCGCUUCCUCUUCCGCCUUGCCCCGCUCCCGCUUUUCCCUUCCCCUUCCCCUUCCUUCGCUUCCCCUUCGUGACCCUCCCUUCCUGCAGUUUCCUCGCCUCCCCGCCCUCGCCCUCGCCGGGCCCGCCGUUCUCGGGCGGCCCCGGGUGGCCCUGGCUGCCCAUGAGCGGCCGCGGGCCCGGCCGGACACAGAGCCGAGCCGGAGCCGCCGCCGCAGCCGCCCCGGGAGGAGGCGACACCAUGUCGGACCGGGUCACAUGGGGGCGGCGCGGGCCGAGUCCUGGACCCGCCCCUCACUCCCGCGGCCCGUGGUGCCGCUGCGGGGUGCGGGCCGGGCCGGGGAGCAGACUCCCUCCCGUCAUCCACCUGGCCGCUGGGAGCGCUGGGUGGAAGCACAUGCAUCCACCCGUCUAGCAUGUGAGGCCUGCCAAGGGCCGGCCAAGGCCCCAAGAAGAGCUUCCGCCUUCCACGACUCUGCCUGUUUGGAGCCUCAGCCCUCAAGAAGCAUCCACUCGAGCAGCCAUCCCUCCCUGAGAGCCCUUCUCCUCCUUGGGCGAUGCCUCCUUUCCGCAGGCCACCUGCCACCGCCCCGUGAAACCCGCAGCCCUGGAACUUGGCACUUUUAGCCCCGGUCCUCCUACGCGGGGGGGGGGGGGGGGGGGGGGGGGGGGGGGGGGGGGGGGGGGGGGGGGGGGGGGGGGGGUAGGAACCGGGGGUAGGAACAGGGUCCUGAUAGUGAGCUGGGAUUUUAGACAUUUGGGGAGGUUGCUCUCCUCUAGAUCCUGAAUACAUAACUCCCCAGCCAUGUUAUCAGGAAAUGGCAAAGCUAGGGCUUCUUACUAGUCACAAAAGUGCAAGUGGAUUCUCCCAAGGUCACACGGGAGUCCUUCCCCCACAGUACCCGUUCUUGUGAGUGAAUUCCAUUCAUAAGGGCACCAGUCUGAAGGGAAAGCUAAGAGAAACCAAAUAAAAUCUAGACAUGGGCUCUAACAUGGUCCACACUAGUCACACGUGGCUGUUGGGCAUUUGAAAUGUGGCUAGUCCAAAUUAAGGUGUAUUGUGUGAAAUACACACCAGAUUUUGAAGAUGUAUAGGAGA
rnacentral:lncRNA from 1 species